rnacentral:sRNA from 1 species
GCGCGCGGAAAGAACAGCGAAGGAGAAAAGGCGGAUAAAGGCGAGAAACCGAAAAACAGAGGACUGAAGCGAGAAAACAGAAUCAAAAGGCACAAAACGCUGAUCAGAAUCGUGAAGUAUACAAAAAUAAGAAUCCAUAUAAUGCGGAGACAACAACAAUAAUGGUAACAGAAGCAACAGCAACAACGGUCAAACAUAAACAACAACAGUAAACACUCGAAGAAAUCAACUGUGCAAUUUUUGAAAUAAAUAACCAAGUAUUAUAUAAAAAAUAAUGCAAAAUUUGUCAAGUGACGGCGGCCAAAGUUGCUCAAUAUGAGCAAUAAAAGCAGCAGCGACCACGACGGCGAUACAGCUGCCCCACAACAACAAAAACAACAACAACAACAACAACGACGACUGCAACUGCAACAACAACAAAUGAAAAUUGGAAAAGUGCAGCAACGCAAAUGAUGCGCAUAUGAAAAAAGAAGAGAAAAUCAAAAUAGCAAAAAGAAAUCCAGCCAAAAAAAAGAAAUUAAAUAUUAAUUUUUUCCUCCCCUCCAAUUGCCUGGCAAUAUCUAAUUGUUUAUAUAUAUA